rnacentral:tRNA from 1 species
CGGGGCGUGGCGCAGUCUGGUAGCGCACUUGCAUGGGGUGCAAGGGGUCGCAGGUUCAAAUCCUGCCGUCCCGACCA